GACGAACGCUGGCGGCGUGCUUAACACAUGCAAGUCGAACGGUAAGGCCCUUCGGGGUACACGAGUGGCGAACGGGUGAGUAACACGUGGGUGAUCUGCCCUGCACUUCGGGAUAAGCCUGGGAAACUGGGUCUAAUACCGGAUAGGACCACUGCCUGCAUGGGUGGUGGUGGAAAGCUUUUGCGGUGUGGGAUGGGCCCGCGGCCUAUCAGCUUGUUGGUGGGGUGAUGGCCUACCAAGGCGACGACGGGUAGCCGGCCUGGGAGGGGGACCGCCACCACUGGAACUGAGAUACGGCCCAGACGCCUACGGGAGGCAGGAGUGGGGAAUAUUGCACAAUGGGCGCAAGCCUGAUGCAGCGACGCCGCGUGAGGGAUGACGGCCUUCGGGUUGUAAACCUCUUUCAGCACCGACGAAGCGCAAGUGACGGUAGGUGCAGAAGAAGGACCGGCCAACUACGUGCCAGCAGCCGCAGUAA
rnacentral:rRNA from 1 species